rnacentral:rRNA from 1 species
AUUGAACGCUGGCGGCAUGCCUUACACAUGCAAGUCGAACGGCAGCGGGCCUUCGGGUGCCGGCGAGUGGCGAACGGGUGAGUAAUGCAUCGGAACGUGCCAUUGAGUGGGGGAUAACGUAGCGAAAGUUACGCUAAUACCGCAUAUUCUGUGAGCAGGAAAGCAGGGGACCGCAAGGCCUUGCGCUCUUUGAGCGGCCGAUGUCAGAUUAGCUAGUUGGUGAGGUAAAGGCUUACCAAGGCGACGAUCUGUAGCGGGUCUGAGAGGAUGAUCCGCCACACUGGAACUGAGACACGGUCCAGACUCCUACGGGAGGCAGCAGUGGGGAA